AUUGUCACUUGUCUUUUUGCUGUGAAUCCACAGUACUCCAUCUUACAUGGAGCUGUGAGGGAACCUGAGAAUGUCAAGCGGACUGACAUUUAUCAGCAAGUUUAGGACCCUCCACUGGAGAUGCCGCUUCCUGGCUCUCCAACAACUGUGGAUGUUGUUGCCACAGAAACAGCACGGUGUUGACAUCAGAGGGCUUGAAGUGAUCUGCUGUGGAGACCAAAAAGCCAAAGCCUGAGCAUCUGACCCCUCAGAGGUUUGUGAGAGGCUGUUAACCUCCAGCUGUGGGUUUGUGGACACAAGCUGAAACAUCUGUGAAACAAAAAAACCAUACACAUGCUCACUCCCAUGUGUUUUGGAGAGGACAUCAUGACGUGCACUGAAACAUGUGUUUCUAUCUGUCUGUUUAGUGGCUGCACUACUGAGACCACAUCAAAUGAACCUUGCUCUAUUGUAAACAUUUUACAGGUGCAUAAACAUGCUCUGUGGACAUGUAUGAUGAGUGGGGAAUGUUUUUAAUUAUCAUUUUUCUUAAGAAAAAGAAAUUCCUUCACCUGUACUGUUUGCUGGAAUAAACAGAAACAAUCUGGA